rnacentral:rRNA from 1 species
GACGAACGCUGGCGGCGUGCUUAACACAUGCAAGUCGAACGGCAAGGCCCUGCUUUUGUGGGGUGCUCGAGUGGCGAACGGGUGAGUAACACGUGAGUAACCUGCCCUUGACUUUGGGAUAACUUCAGGAAACUGGGGCUACUACCGGAUAGGAGCUCCUGCUGCAUGGUGGGGGUUGGAAAGUUUCGGCGGUUGGGGAUGGACUCGCGGCUUAUCAGCUUGUUGGUGGGGUAGUGGCUUACCAAGGCAUUGACGGGUAGCCGGCCUGGGAGGGUGACCGGCCACAUUGGGACUGGGAUACGGCCCAGACUCCUACGGGAGGCAGCAGUGGGGAAUAUUGCACAAUGGGCGGAAGCCUGAUGCAGCAACGCCGCGUGCGGGAUGACGGCCUUCGGGUUGUAAACCGCUUUGGCCUGUGACGAAGCGUGAGUGACGGUAAUGGGUAAAGAAGCACCGGCGAACUACGU